UCCAGACUCCUACGGGAGGCAGCAGUGGGGAAUAUUGCACAAUGGGGGAAACCCUGAUGCAGCGACGCCGCGUGAGUGAAGAAGUAAUUCGUUAUGUAAAGCUCUAUCAGCAGGGAAGAAAAUGACGGUACCUGAGUAAGAAGCCCCGGCUAACUACGUGCCAGCAGCCGCGGUAAUACGUAGGGGGCAAGCGUUAUCCGGAUUUACUGGGUGUAAAGGGAGCGUAGACGGCAGUGCAAGUCUGAAGUGAAAAUCCAGCGCGUAACGUUGGAAGUGCUUUGGAAACUGCCGGGCUAGAGUGCAGGAGGGGCAGGCGGAAUUCCUAGUGUAGCGGUGAAAUGCGUAGAUAUUAGGAGGAACACCAGUGGCGAAGGCGGUCUGCUGGACAGCAACUGACGCUGAGGCGCGAAAGCGUGGGGAGCAAACAGGAUUAGAUACCCGAGUAA
rnacentral:rRNA from 1 species